rnacentral:rRNA from 1 species
UACGGGGGGGGCAAGCGUUGUUCGGAAUUACUGGGCGUAAAGGGCUCGUAGGUGGCCAACUAAGUCAGACGUGAAAUCCCUCAGCUUAACUGGGGAACUGCGUCUGAUACUGGAUGGCUUGAGAUUGGGAGAGGGAUGCGGAAUUCCAGGUGUAGCGGUGAAAUGCGUAGAUAUUGGGAGGAACACCAGUGGCGAAGGCGGCUCACUGGACUGGUACUGACGCUGAGGCGCGAAAGCGUGGGGAGCAAACAGG